rnacentral:rRNA from 1 species
AUUGAACGCUGGCGGCAGGCUUAACACAUGCAAGUCGGACGGUAACAGGAGGAAAGCUUGCUUUCUUUGCUGACGAGUGGCGGACGGGUGAGUAAUGCUUGGGAAUCUGUUUUAUGGAGGGGGAUAACUACGGGAAACUGUAGCUAAUACCGCGUAAUAUCGAGAGAUUAAAGUGUGGGACCGUAAGGCCACACGCCAUAGAGUGAGCCCAAGUGGGAUUAGGUAGUUGGUGGGGUAAAGGCCUACCAAGCCGUCGAUCUCUAGCUGGUCUGAGAGGAUGACCAGCCACACUGGGACUGAGACACGGCCCAGACUCCUACGGGAGGCAGCAGUGGGGAAUAUUGCACAAUGGGCGCAAGCCUGAUGCAGCCAUGCCGCGUGAAUGAAGAAGGCCUUCGGGUUGUAAAGUUCUUUCGGUGGUGAGGAAGGUUGUAAUGUUAAUAGCAUUAUAAUUUGACGUUAGCCACAGAAGAAGCACCGGCUAACUCCGUGCCAGCAGCCGCGGUAAUACGGAGGGUGCGAGCGUUAAUCGGAAUAACUGGGCGUAAAGGGCACGCAGGCGGAUACUUAAGUGAGGUGUGAAAGCCCUGGGCUUAACCUAGGAAUUGCAUUUCAUACUGGGUAUCUAGAGUAUUUUAGGGAGGGGUAGAAUUCCACGUGUAGCGGUGAAAUGCGUAGAGAUGUGGAGGAAUACCGAAAGCGAAGGCAGCCCCUUGGGGGAAUACUGACGCUCAUGUGCGAAAGCGUGGGGAGCAAACAGG